AUUAAAAUAUCAAUAUAUACUUUUAUUAAAAUAAAUAUUAAAAAGUUUAUAUUAUAUUAAGGAAUAAUUUCAUUCAGCUCUUUAUAAACAUAUCGAAUAGUAGAGAUAUCUCUACAAAGUUUAAGUUUAUGGACUUGUCCUUCAAAAUGUUAAAGUAUUGUUGUUUGACUCAAAUAAACAAAUUAAAAAGUUGAAUAGUAAAAUUAAAAUUUAAAAAUUUGGUAAUUAAUUCAAAAUGGUUCAUAAUUCGGAUAAGUGAUGCACAUUUUUA
rnacentral:lncRNA from 1 species